GAGGAGUAUGGGGCUGGCGCCCUGCCCGGUCUGCAAAACCGGUAUCUUGGUCUAAUAAAGGCUGAUGUGGGUUCGAUUCCCACUACUCCUCUCCA
rnacentral:sRNA from 1 species